CUGAAAGGAAUCUAGAGAGAUAUGAGAGAGAAGAAAGAAAAAAAGAAAAGAAAGGAUUCACCUUGGAGAUAGUUGAUGGGUGAAGAGAGAGAAACGGCAUUUUGGUGGUGAGGCUGCCAAUUCUGUGGCAUCGGAGAAGAGAGAGAAGAAGAUGCAUCCCCUCUUUUUUUCUUCUUCUUCACCAACACCACCACAUUCCAUUAAACCCAACCAAAUUACCCCCAAACCCUAACGAUCAAUCAGCCUUUAUUUUAAAUCAAUUCAGAAGAAUUACAGAACCGAGUUACAAGCAAUCAAUCCCUUGAAUUGCAAAGGGUGCAUGCAUAAUCCGUGUAUUUGGGCAUCCACAUUUUCUAUAGGAAAGGGUAAAAGCCCUUAGAGAGAGAGGGGGGCGUUGCACAGAGAAAAGGGGCAGAUGAGAUCGAGGUUCAGACCUUUUUCGCCGCAGCUGCUGAGAUAAACUGGUGACAAAUAAACGAGAUGAGCAAACCCUAGGGAGCAGAGAGGGGUCUGGCUGAGCGGCGCGGUGCGAAGAGAGGGGUGGCUCAGCGGCAGAAGAAGAACCCAGGGCUCCGACCUUUUGGUCGGAACUUUUUUAACACGGGAGGAAGAACAGUAAAGUGAAGUUCCCCUAUUUUUUUAUCAAAUACAGAAUAUGAACAGUCUGUUCCAAGUUUUUGGAAGACACUUCCUUCUAUCAAACACAGAACAUAAACAAGGUAAG
rnacentral:lncRNA from 1 species